rnacentral:rRNA from 1 species
UACAGAGGGUGCAAGCGUUAAUCGGAAUUACUGGGCGUAAAGCGUGCGCAGGCGGUUGUGCAAGACAGAUGUGAAAUCCCCGGGCUCAACCUGGGAAUUGCAUUCGAGACUGUGUGGCUAGGGUGCGGAAGAGGGAAGCGGAAUUUCCGGUGUAGCGGUGAAAUGCGUAGAUAUGCGGAGGAACACCGAUGGCGAAGGCAAUCCCCUGGGCCUGUACUGACGCUCAUGCACGAAAGCGUGGGGAGCAAACAGG